AUCCUGGCUCAGGAUGAACGCUAGCUACAGGUUUAACACAUGCAAGUCGAGGGGCAGCGGGAUUGAAGCUUGCUUCAAUUGCCGGCGACCGGCGCACGGGUGAGUAACGCGUAUCCAACCUUCCGUACACUCAGGGAUAGCCUUUCGAAAGAAAGAUUAAUACCUGAUGGUAUGAUGAGAUUGCAUGAUAGCAUCAUUAAAGAUUUAUCGGUGUACGAUGGGGAUGCGUUCCAUUAGGUAGUAGGCGGGGUAACGGCCCACCUAGCCAACGAUGGAUAGGGGUUCUGAGAGGAAGGUCCCCCACAUUGGAACUGAGACACGGUCCAAACUCCUACGGGAGGCAGCAGUGAGGAAUAUUGGUCAAUGGACGAGAGUCUGAACCAGCCAAGUAGCGUGAAGGAUGAAGGUCCUACGGAUUGUAAACUUCUUUUAUAAGGGAAUAAACCCUCCCACGUGUGGGAGCUUGUAUGUACCUUAUGAAUAAGCAUCGGCUAACUCCGUGCCAGCAGCCGCGGUAAUACGGAGGAUGCGAGCGUUAUCCGGAUUUAUUGGGUUUAAAGGGAGCGCAGACGGGUCGUUAAGUCAGCUGUGAAAGUUUGGGGCUCAACCUUAAAAUUGCAGUUGAUACUGGCGUCCUUGAGUGCGGUUGAGGUGUGCGGAAUUCGUGGUGUAGCGGUGAAAUGCUUAGAUAUCACGAAGAACUCCGAUUGCGAAGGCAGCACACUAAUCCGUAACUGACGUUCAUGCUCGAAAGUGUGGGUAUCAGACAGGAUUAGAUACCCUGGUAGUCCACACGGUAAACGAUGGAUACUCGCUGUUGGCGAUAUACUGUCAGCGGCUUAGCGAAAGCGUUAAGUAUCCCACCUGGGGAGUACGCC
rnacentral:rRNA from 1 species